ensembl:lncRNA
UACGGAGGUCUGUCCCAAUCUGCUCCAGGCCUUCCAGCAUCAGAAAGGAUUCAUAUGUCUUCUUCAUGCAUGUUCCUUCAGAUAAUCACACAGAAAAAAGAAAACAUGAUAAGCAUCGUAGAAUCCAGUGACAAACAACCUUAUCUAGUAUUUGGGCCUGAAAUUAAAACAAAUAAGCACAAUCAUAUUGGAAAAGGUCCUAUAACAAAAAAUAAUAUUGCUGGGUGUAAUAGCUUUACAUUCAUUAUUAGAUGUUACUGUCAUUAAUUUGGACAUGUAGCAUAACCACGGCAUUGUCAAAUUAUUGCUAAUGGCGUCAGCUGAGAAAUAACAGGCUCAGCAGUUAAUGACUUCAGAGACAAGAGGUAAUGAGCUGAAAAAUAAGCAACAUUAUUAUAAAUAAGCUAAGUAAAUCCUAAGUUCUUGGAUCAAUCCCCAUAGCUUUUCUCUCCAGACUCGUUUUCUCAUCACACACACUCCUGUCAUCUCCUAUCCCAGUUCCCCCUCAUUCCUACUCCUACCCUCUCUCCCUCCACCACGCAACUUCUGUCAUUUUCUAGCAGUUUGCCAGCAUUUCUACUACUCAUCCCCACCCCCCUGGUCUCCAUUGGCUGGGCUGGCACCUGGCUCUGGGCCAGUCGUUCUGGAUGUCUGGCGAGACAGCAGCCGCUCACUCCGGCAGCGACACAGGGUCCCCCUCAUGAGAAGGCUGGAAGGCGGCCAAAAUGUUGCCUGAGUCUUCCCCAAACAAGCUCCGAUGUGACAGUUCUGAUGAGGCCUGUAGGACUGGACCCUCAUCAUGUGACACAGGACCAGGAGGACAAGUCUGCUUUGCUACUUUCCCAGAGAACUCAAGAGGCAAACCCUCUGAUGACAUAACAGGUUGUUUCCGGAUCUUGACAGAGCCUCUGAUCGUGCCAGCCCUACCUAUCGGAUGACCAGUUCUCCCCCUUCUGCACCUGGAUGGAUGAGAUGCAGAAAACUUCCAGGACUCUUUUUUGUCCAUCACGAUCGGUUUGGAGGUUGAUUUAUUGCUAGCCUUAGUCCCUUUGGUACAAACUGGGGGCAGAGCCCUUAGUUUGCCCUGUGGCGUUUCCGCUGGUUCUUUCAUUGGCCCUGUACUAUUGGGAGGGUCUUUCUGGAGUGCUGUGCCACCGCGAACUCUGAGGGCCUUUUCCAGCAUUCGAUUCAGCAGUUCCAUUUCCUGUCUCUCUUCAGGUAGGACAUCUGGGUCUACAGAAAGAAUGAGAAAAACAACCACAAAAUUACAAAGUACCCUGG